GAUGAACGCUAGCGGGAGGCUUAAUACAUGCAAGUCGAGGGGUAACAGGGGCUUCGGCCCGCUGACGACCGGCGCACGGGUGAGUAACGCGUACGCAACUUACCUCCAAGCGAGGGAUAGCCCUGGGAAACUGGGAUUAAUACCUCAUGUGAUUAUGAUGCCGCAUGGUGUUAUAAUUAAAGUUCAGGCGCUUGGAGAUGGGCGUGCGUCCUAUUAGCUAGUUGGUGAGGUAACGGCUCACCAAGGCGACGAUAGGUAGGGGGCGUGAGAGCGUGGCCCCCACCACGGUACGUGAGACACGGACCCGGACCUCCUACCGGAGGGCGAGCGAGUAAGGAAAGUAAUUGGUACGAAUA
rnacentral:rRNA from 1 species